UCAGGGAACAAAACCUCUUGAUUCCAGUUUCUUCCUUCUUCACACAGAAUGGAGAGAGAUGUUGGAAAGAUGAAAAUCAUCUAAGUGGUAGUAUUUGCUCUUAAUUCUCCCCUGACAAGGAGCUGCUAAAGUCUGCACUAUUCUCUCCCGUAGCUUUGUGCCCCUUGGUGACAAAGACUGAUAGGAGAAUUAGAAGGAGAGGACAUUUGAGCACAUAGAGGGUAGCCGAGAGCUAGAGAAGGGCUACAUUAUUGAGAACUGGUGUUGAAAGACAGAUGCAAUAAAACAAAAGAGGAAGCACAUUGGCAUAAAGUAGCUGAAAAGUGUAACAAGAUGACUCAAGAAGAAUCAUUCAGGAGAAAAGGAUGACAUAUUG